rnacentral:lncRNA from 1 species
UCUUCCUGGUGGAUGACCUCAGGGGAGGGGUUCGUCUCCCUGGGAGAUGACCUCAGGGGAGGGGUUCCUCUCCCUGGUGGGUGACCUCACAGUCUCAAAGGGCAAUGCUUCCCUGUACAGGUGCAGGCUUGAAUUUAUUUCAGGAGUGAAAGAUGCGCAUCAUUUAAAGCAGGCUCUCCCUGUGAUCCUGUAGCAGCAGAUUCCUGCGGGAUCCAGAGGAGCCAGAGUCCAUGCCAGCACCCUACUCCUAAGCCAGAACCUUCUGGUGGUCUCCCUGAGACAGCCAUUGUCAGGUGAAGCCAAACCCCACCUUGUGAGCUUGUGGUUAAUAGCUCAUGGAUAUCAGCCUGGCUAUUUUAUGCUUCAGAAUGCUGUGUUAUUGUGCCUUUGAUUUCCUCUAGACCCCAGGUAGACAGUGCUUUAUUAGCCUUCUUGAAAUUGGGACACAACAUUUGAGGGGAAGGAAGGAGUGUCAACACCAAAGCAAAAAACAAAUUGAGAGAGGAGUGAUGAAUGACAAGCAGGUUUUUGAGCAGAAUGCAGUGAAUCAAAAGGAAAGAGCAUUAUCUGUAACAACAAGAGUCAUCACAGAAUGAGUGUGACCUCUUCUAUGCCAGUUAAUGUGCUUGUCGUUUAUGUGAGGCCAACAUGGCGUGAUGGCCAAGAGCACAGACUUCAGUGCUUGAUUGCCUGGGUUUCAAUCUUGGCUUUCUGCUGAUGACUUGAAUGUCCUUAGUCAAAUAACUUCUCCAAGCCUUAGUGUUCCCAUCUAUAAAAUGGGACUAAUAGUAUUAUGUAUCUCGUAGGAUUGUUGUGACAAUUAAGUGAGACAAUUUAUGUAAAGUGUACAGAACAGGAUCUGUAUCUUGUGAAGGUUAAUUCUUUCUAACAUCUCUUUGAUCAUUUUUACCCUCACAAUUUUACUAUAAUCAUGUACCCAUGUGUUAAUAUUUAAAUACUUUUUGAAAUAUUUAAAAAAUUAUGAAUAGAAGAGAUAUAUUAAAAAGCACAAAAAGCAUAAAUGAAGAAAUCAAGAAAUUAUCAUGAAACAAACACCCGAGUCAAGAAACAGGGCCAGGACCUUGGAAAUACCUCCAAGGUCCUCUUCCUGCCUCUCCAGAGGUAACUCUUCAAACUGUUCUUUAUGUUGCCCUGUGUUUGCUCAUUGUACAUAUGGAAUCAUAUAGUCUGUUUACUUUUGUGUGUGUCUGUGCUAUGGUUUGAAUGUUUGUAUCCCUUCCAAAAUUCAUGUUGGAACUUAAUGCCCAUUGUGGCAGUAAUAAGAG